AGCAGCCGCGGUAAUUCCAGCUCCAAUAGCGUAUAUUAAAGUUGUUGCAGUUAAAAAGCUCGUAGUUGAACUUCGGGGUUUACUCAUUGGUCAGGCUUAAUUGUCUGCACUGGUGAGAUGAAUCUCUACCUUCUGAGGAACUUUCAUGCCAUUUAUUUGGUGCGAUGGGAAAUCAGGACUGUUACUUUGAAAAAUUAGAGUGUUUAAAGCAGGCUAACGUCUGAAUACAUUAGCAUGGAAUAAUGAAAUAGGACGGACUGAUUCUAUUUCGUUGGUUUCUAGGAUCACCGUAAUGAUUAAUAGGGACAGUUGGGGGCAUUAGUAUUCAAUUGUCAGAGGUGAAAUUCUUGGAUUUAUUGAAGACUAACUACUGCGAAAGCAUUUGCCAGGAUGUUUUCAUUAAUCAAGACGAAAGUUAGGGGAUCGAAGACGAUCAGAUACCGUCGUAGUCUUAAACCAUAAACUAUGCCGAUAGGGAUCGGACGAAGUUAAUUUUAUAAUGACGCG
rnacentral:rRNA from 1 species